rnacentral:rRNA from 1 species
AGCGUAGGCGGAUAGUUCAGUCAGAGGUGAAAGCCCAGGGCUCAACCUUGGAACUGCCUUUGAUACUGGCUAUCUUGAGUUUGGGAGAGGUAUGUGGAACUCCGAGUGUAGAGGUGAAAUUCGUAGAUAUUCGGAAGAACACCAGUGGCGAAGGCGACAUACUGGCCCAAUACUGACGCUGAGGCUCGAAAGCGUGGGAGCAAACA